GUGCUGCUAGAGAGAUUUCCGGUUCCCAUUUCUGUCCGUUUAUUCUUCCAGUAAGGAGAGGCGGCUGGUGCUUAUAAGCGUUCAGAGGACUAAACAGCAAACGAAGCCGGGUGGGCUGAGGAAUUCCGCGAACAUGUUCUUUGCAAUGGAGUUUAUGGUUCAGGAUAUAGUGCAGAAAAUAGGAUGAGGAAAUGUCAGUAUUUCAUACAGGAACACAGACAAGCAGAAGAGAAACUUGUGUUGCAGCAGUGACAGAAGAUGAGAUGAAAUUAUUCUAUGUAACUCUUUAUAACGUAAGAAUAUAUAUUGUUUAUAAAGAAAGGCAUUGAUGCUGGCAUUCUUCUCUUAUGCAGAGAUAAAAAUUAUAGUAUGUGUUAUAUGGAAAUAGGAUUAAGGACGGUACAUUUAUACAAUGAAUAAUUUUUAAACAGUUGGAACUAGAGACAAAAACAGUCUCUUGGUUAUCUGGUCUAGGAGAACACCUGAUCUUCUGGAGAACUGCUGCUCCACCAGUCAACUAUGCCACUAUAAACCCUUUCUUAUGCCUACCAAUCUAUUCCUACAAAAGUAGAACAGCCAAAUCUUUCUCCUGACUCUGUAAUCUAUCUUGCUGCUCUAGUAUGACUUAUAUUUUGGUUUCUAUUUUUCUUGGACCAAUUCCAGAGGUAUGAUCUUUUUAAUCUCUUCUCAAAUAUUCAAUCCAUCAAUUUCUCAGGUGUUUUCCUACAGUUGUCAGUCAGGCUAAAUUAAAAUAACACAGGCAAAAUAAUUUUAACAUUAACUAUAAUAUUGCAAAAGAAUGGGUGCGUUCUUUUGCAAAUCCUGUUCUGCUUGUGGGUGAAAAAUCCACAAGCAGAAUGGUAUUUUUAAAAUCAUUUUUACCUUGCCUGUUUAAUAACAAAAGAACAUUUUGAUUAAAUCCCCAAAGCUUGUUAUUCUCCCCCCUCCAGUUUUCUUGGAAGAUAAAAUUUUAAAGCCUUUUCCUAAGCCACUUGUAUCAUAGGAAAACACUUUCUGAGAUAAAAACAUCUUUAAAACUUGAGCUGUUUGUUCAGUGACAGCUAAUUACAAUAUAUACUCUGUAAUUCACAGGAAAAAGGUAUUACAAAUAUUUUCCUAUUAUAUAUUUUUUUCAUUCAGAAUCUAAUAGUUGAAGAACAUCAACACUUUACACCAAUAUGAAUUGAAAUUCUUAUGUGAAUAUGAAAAGCGCAUAAAAGAAAAUUAUUCUACCAUUUCAGUCAUAGACAGCAAGCAAAACAAACUGGUUAUUGUAAUAUCUCCUUUGAAGUUAAGAAAACCAUGAACAAAUAAAAGCAUAUAUUAGUUUAUAAAGUUGGGCUAUUACUGUUCUCUUCCACCUUUAAGUUUUUUUUUUAUAUGACCUCAAAUUGUGUUGAAGAAUAUUUCCAACUUUCUGGACAAAUUAGAUGAACAAGCAAAAGAUUUUAGGGGGCAGGUUACAUUGAAAAAUGGAAGUUUCCAUUAGACUACAAGAAUUUGGAAACUGUAAUAGGACAGACUAUUUCUUUGAUUCUCCUAUAAUAAUACCAGUUUUGCAACAGUACAUACAUAUAACAACUCAAUAAUUUCUUAACUUUGAGUACAACGGUUUAGAAAUGUGCUUUUGAACUUUCCAGAUUGCAAUGUAGGAAACAAUUAUAGAUACCUUAAAUAGCUACUCCUACAUGAAAGAAAAAGGGCUUAACUCAAAAUGCAAUGUGGAAACCAAUGGCUGACCCAUGGCCAGAUCCUGUACAUAUAUAUUCAGGAAAUUCCUGAAUAUCUAUUUAAUUGAAUAAACAUAGUUGCAGUCAUCUGCCUAUAUAAUUUGGAAUAAAAUCAGUAACUAUAGUAGCAUUUUCUUUCAAGUAUACAGAUUCAAAUUUUCAAAAUGGUCUUAGGCAGAAAAACUGGGUAAUCGCCAUAUUAUGUUAGUAAUAUGUAGCUGGAGUAUCAAAGCAUCAUUUUCAGAUGAGGCUCUACAAAGUAAUUGGUUAAUUCCCAACCUCAUUAAUUCUAUUCAAGAUUGCUUCCCAUCUAGUAGUACCUUAUUUCAAACAGGAGGGGUUUCCUCUCCAAGAUUUAUGUCCCAGCUGGAGUAUAUUGGAAGGGGGGGAGAGAGGAGGUGGAGAGAACAGGGUCAAAGGAAGAAAGUAUCAGAUUCUGGGAAAAAGUUAGCAUCCUUCAUCAGUGCAUACUACCCUGUACAAAUAUCCCAAUCCAGAGAGAGAGAAGCUGAAAAGCCAGUAUGGUGCAGCGGGGAAGGUGCUGGAUCAGAAACCAAGGAGAUUUGAGAGUUCCAGGCCUGCUAGGCAUGAAAAGUGGCUGAAUGAAUCACUCACUCUCUCAGAACAACCCACAUCAUAGGUGAUUGUUGUGAGGAAAACAGGAGGCAGGAGAAUUAGUUUUCCCCUUUGAGUUUUAUAUAUAUAAAUGGCAGGAUAAAAAUAUAAUAAAAAAGAACACCCCUGGUUUUAAAAUUAUAUGAAAAUAUAGAUUUGUUUUAGUAAGGCUGAAUCCCAAGUAUAAUUACUCAGUCUAUGAGUAAAUUUGCUUACAAAUUGACUAAUAAUCCAAGAAAUAAUGCAUUUGAGUUACUCUAAAACAGGGGUGUCAAAUGCAGGGCAUCACAUGUCGUAUCACAACUUUUCCCCCCUUUGUUAAACUGGGCAUGGGCAUGGUCAACAUGUGACUCAUCUGGCCCACGGGCUGCGAGUUUGACAGCCCUGUUCUCAGGUAAUGGUAAAUGCUAUUUAUUUGGAAUUAACAUGUGGCUUGAUAAACGUUCAGACUGAUGUAAAGAAAAUUCUCAUAGCACCUAAUAUCAUUUUGCAAAAACAUACCACUGGCAUGUAUGAGCCC